GAUGAACGUUGGCGGCGUGUUUAACACAUGCAAGUCGAACGGAAAGGCUCCUGCUUGCAGGGGUACUCGAGUGGCGAACGGGUGAGUAACACGUGGGUGAUCUGCCCUGCACUUCGGGAUAAGCCUGGGAAACUGGGUCUAAUACCGGAUAGGACCACAUUUUGGAUGGUGUGGUGGAAAGUUUUUCGGUGUGGGAUGAGCUCGCGGCCUAUCAGCUUGUUGGUGGGGUAAUGGCCUACCAAGGCGUCGACGGGUAGCCGGCCUGAGAGGGUGUACGGCCUCAUUGGGACUGAGAUACGGCCCAGACGCCUACGGGAGGCAGCAGAGGGGAAUAGUGCACAAUGGGCGCAAGCCUGAUGCAGCGACGCCGCGUGGGGGAUGACGGCCUUCGGGUUGUAAACUCCUUUCGCUAGGGACGAAGCGUUUUUGUGACAGGUACCUGGAGAAGAAGCACCGGCUAACUACGUG
rnacentral:rRNA from 1 species